AACGAACGCUGGCGGCAUGCCUAACACAUGCCAGUCGAACGAGACCUUCGGGUCUAGUGGCGCACGGGUGCGUAACGCGUGGGAACCUGCCCUUAGGUUCGGAAUAACUCCCCGAAAGGGGUGCUAAUACCGGAUAAUGUCUUCGGACCAAAGAUUUAUCGCCUUUGGAUGGGCCCGCGUUGGAUUAGCUAGUUGGUAGGGUAAAAGCCUACCAAGGCGACGAUCCAUAGCUGGUCUGAGAGGAUGAUCAGCCACACUGGGACUGAGUCACGGCCCAGACUCCUACGGGAGGCAGCAGUGGGGAAUAUUGGACAAUGGGCGAAAGCCUGAUCCAGCAAUGCCGCGUGAGUGAUGAAGGCCUUAGGGUUGUAAAGCUCUUUUACCCGGGAUGAUAAUGACAGUACCGGGAGAAUAAGCUCCGGCUAACUCCGU
rnacentral:rRNA from 1 species